rfam:TPA: Bos taurus chromosome 3, whole genome shotgun sequence.
UCCAUGAUAGCUCAGUUGGUAAAGAAUCUGCCUGCUAUGCAGGAGACCCUGGUUCGAUUCCUAGGUUGGAGAA